rnacentral:rRNA from 1 species
GACGAACGCUGGCGGCGUGCUUAACACAUGCAAGUCGAACGGUAAGGCCCUUCGGGGUACACGAGUGGCGAACGGGUGAGUAACACGUGGGUGAUCUGCCCUGCACUUCGGGAUAAGCCUGGGAAACUGGGUCUAAUACCGGAUAGGACCACUGCCUGCAUGGGUGGUGGUGGAAAGCUUUUGCGGUGUGGGAUGGGCCCGCGGCCUAUCAGCUGGUUGGUGGGGUGAUGGCCAACCAAGGCGACGACGGGUAGCCGGCCUGGGAGGGUGACCGGCCACACUGGGACUGGGAUACGGCCCAGACGCCUACGGGAGGCAGCAGUGGGGAAUAUUGCACAAUGGGCGCAAGCCUGAUGCAGCGACGCCGCGUGAGGGAUGACGGCCUUCGGGUUGUAAACCUCUUUCAGCACCGACGAAGCGCAAGUGACGGUAGGUGCAGAAGAAGGACCGGCCAACUACGUGCCAGCCGCCGCAGUAA